ACAUUGCCUGUAGGUAAAGAAUAUUGCAGGUACGUCCUGCCCAGUGACAUAGUUAAACGGCCGCGGUACCCUGACCGUGCAAAGGUAGCAUAAUCAUUUGCCCUUUAAUUGGGGGCUAGUAUGAAUGGAUACACGAGAGAAAAGCUGUCUCUUUCCUAUAAUUAAAAAUUAACUUUUAGGUGAAGAGGCCUGGAUUAAAAUAAAGGACAAGAAGACCCUAUUGAGCUUGAUUUAAGCUAAGUAUGGGUUUAUUUGGUUUUAAUUUGGUUGGGGCGACAAAGGAAGGCCCUUUUCUUCCUUCUUUUUUUGGCUUUCAUGCCCAUAAUGAUCCGGGUUUCGAUUAAUGGAUAUAGCUACCAUAGGGAUAACAGGCUAAUCCUCCUAGAGAGCUCAUAUUGACAGGAGGGGUUGGCACCUCGAUGUUGGCUUAGGGCAUCCUGCUGGUGUAGCAGCCAGCAAAGGUGGGUUUGUUCAACCCAUAAAGCCCUACGU
rnacentral:rRNA from 2 species